UCUCCUCGUUUGGAUUAAUUCUGAUAUAAUAACUGUUGGUUUAUUUAUCGGUGGAGCAGCAGACAGUUUUCCUGCCCGUUGGCUUGUUUUAACCAGUUUUCUACCUUUGGCUGAUUCUACCAGCAGACACUGAAAGGACUCUGAUAGUUCGAGUGAAAGUAGCAGUUCCUCCUUAAGGUCAGAGAUUGCAGCAUCUGAGGGCCUCUUCAAAAGAAGACGUAGUUGAUGACGGCAUUCUGGAGCAGGACCAGAAAGACCACGACCAAGCAGCCUUGAGAUCUUAGGCAGCGUCUCCCUCAGGUCCCUCUCUAUCUCCCCACACAUCCACCAACCACUGGAACACAUCUCCAAAGUUCUGCCGAGCCAGCUCAGCUUCCCCUCAGAAGAAGUGCUGCCACCUGCCAGAUGAAGGAGCCUUUUGAGAGGCAGCUGGCAUCGUGAUUGGACUGUACUUUGGUCUGUUCCAAUCCAGCUUCAGCUCCAGAGACGGCAGGCGGGACGAGUCAACGGAGGCCGGGUGGACAAAGGCAUGCAGCUGAGUACAAUCCAGAAAACAACAGAGGAGGAGUGCAGCGGCCCAGGGCCAGAACAAACAACCAAAGAACUACAGACUCUUCACAACCUGCUCAAACUCUUGGUACAGGACCUCACUACACGGGUCAAGAAGGUUUCCGUCUCAUUUCUACUCUGAAGAUCACCUUCUCCUGCUCAAACUGCUGACAAAUGUUUCUGCUGCUCUAAAGUCUGGUCUCCAGAACUUCCUAAAACUCUCAAAGUCUCUUCUGCUGCAGGUUGCUUUGUAGAACUGUUGCAGAAAACCUCACUAAACCCCAUGGAGGGGCCUCAAGAUAGUCAUCCAAAUGAAACCGUACAAAAACCAAACUAGCACAACCCAAACGCUAAAGUCUCCUGCAGCCUACCAGAGAACCUCUGAGAACAGAGAAUCAGGACAGGAACUCUUACCUUCUGGACAACCAACGCUGGUUCUCAAACAAGAAUACAGAAUGUGUCUGACCAAAAACCUCUAAAGACUCACCACAGCCAAGAUAAAGACACAACUCAGCUGCACCAAAUCCACUAAUCACUGCACACAUUAGCACCAUGUGCUAACUGUGGCUAAAGAACCACAUUUACCAAGACAACUAUCCAGUACAAAGCCCUAAAACACACCAAGAAACACAUUAAAGACGAUUUUACUGCUGGAAGCUGCAAGCCAACGCCUAAAGAACAACCUAAAGCAAUGGAGCCAAACCCAGUUCACUGGUGAAGAGAAGCAGAGGAAAUGUUUGAUGCAGCUAAAUAAAGCAGGAAGACACUGAGCUGCUCAGGUGUUCCUGAUAACACCAAGCAGCCACCUGGACAGCCAAUAGGAACACAGCUUACUGGAAGUCCAGAGGGCUGGGUUAGUGAAGGAAAUUUAGUUUAAAGUUGAAGCAGAAAGUUAACAAAGAAAGUUGAAAACCACCUUCUGAUACCUGAAAUCUCUGAGUUUUCACACAAAGAACGCCUGAACAUGUCAAACUGGUUUCAUAGUAGAACCAUCAUUGUAAAAACGUCAUAGUAUGGUGUGUUGCUCAAAAAACAUUACGACCCAGCUGUAUAGGGUCACCGAGGAGCAACACAAAAACAGGACAAAUGCUGGUUUCCAGGGGGUUAGGCAGCUAUUUAUUUGAAAGAGUAAGUUUAUGACAACACAGCAUGUGAACAGAUAAAUCACAAAGUCUGUCUUUAGUUCAGCUGAAAAUAUUAGAGUUUAUAUAAUAAUAAUAGAGUUUUUGUCUUUUUUAUUGACCAAACUUUUCAGGAAGUAGAUGAAGAAUAAUUAAAGCUCUCAUGUAGAAGUCCAACGUGUUUUGGAUCCUUGUGGAGAGUUUAAUCUUAGAGUUUGUACAGCUGUUGAGUUUUUAGAGUCACAUGGAUUGUUUUGACAUUUAAUAACUGAGUCCUGAAAUAAAAUUACAGUUGUGGAUUUCUGUCAUUUAGUCUGGACUAAACAAAUAACAGCAGCAUAAAUCUCAAACGUCAUUAUGAGGAGUCUGGAUUGAGGUUUCUCACUUGAUAAUGAUCAAAACAUGAAAUUUAGGUUGGUUUAAAGGAAUAUUCCACCUUAAAUCUUUGAAUGUUGACCUAAAAGGUUGGUUUCAGGAAGUAUUCCACCUACAAGGUCCUCAAACAUCCACCUUAAAGGAACAUUCCACCAAAAAUCCUUGGACAUGCACCUAAAAUGUUGGUUUAACCGAGUAUUCCAUCCAAAAUCCUCAAAGAGACCUGAGGGGCUGGUUAAAAUGAAUCUUCCACCUAAAACCUCACCCGAAAGGGUGGUUUAGAAAAAAAUCCUUCAAUGUAGACCAAAAAAGUUAGUAUGGAGGAAUAUUCCACCUGAAAUUUAGACCUGAGAAGUUGGUUCGGAAGAAUAUACCAUCCUAAACAUCUUUAAAUGUAGACUAAAAGACGGUUUGGAAGAAAAUUCCACCUAAAAUCCUCCAAUGUAGACCUAAAAGGUGAGUUUAAUGGUAUAUUCCACCUAAAAUUCCCUACUGUAGACCUUGGAGGUUGAUCUGAUGGUAUAUUCCACCCAACAUCCUUGAACAUAAACUUAAAAACUUCAAAGUUCAAAGGAAUAUUCCACCUAAAAUCCUUCAAUGUAGACCAAAAAAAUCUUGGUGUAAAGGAGUAUUCCACCUUAAAUGUAGACCUAAAGGAUGGUUUGGAGUAAUAUUCUACUCUAAAAUCUUCCAAUGUAGACCUAGAAGGUUUACCUGAUGGUAUAUUCUACUCAACAUCCUGGAACAUUUACCUAAAAGGUUGGUUUAAUGGUAUAUUCCCAGAACCCUUGAACAUUGGGCUUAGUGGUAUAUUCCACCCAAAAUACUUGUACAUAUACCAAGAAGUCAGUGUAAAGGAAAUGUAGACCUAAAAGGAUCGUUUAAAGGAAUAUUUAAACUAUUAUUUUCAUUAUUUAAUAAUCUGUUAUCAGUCAGAACCCUGGCAAACUUAUUUUCAUCAGUUUUUUAGUGGAAGUCACAAAUAAAGGAGCUCUUGGUUUUUCCUGGCGUUACUGAGUCCAAAGCUGCUGUUUCAACACAGACAUGUUCACAUGCAUCCACAAACCUCUCAGCCCUCAAACACCCACAGACAGGAGGCCGGCUGGACCGAG